AUUGGAAAUAUAUUUUUUAUGAAUCACAAAGUUGCAAUUGAAUUGUUAUUGAUGAUUCUGAUAAAAUGUAGAGUUUGUUGAUGGUUUCAUAUUUACUGUGUCAUGUAAAUAACUGAACUGCGUUGUUGCUGAAAUGCGAUAUACACACAAACUUCACCUCAACUGUAUGUAAAUAAAGGUAGAAAUCAGGAAUAAUUAACAUUUCUGGUUAAAACUUCAAAUUAUUUUCCUUUAUAUAAAUCUAGACCAACAACAACAAAAACAAAUAAAACAAAAACUUGACAUGUCUUGUUAUAAAAACAAACAUGUCCAGUAGACAAAAAUAAACAACGCAUUACUUUUCUUUGGAAAUCAAACCAGCAGUUUGCACCAGGCAGGUGAGGCUGCUCUCUCUGACAUGACGCGUUUGUGUCUGGUGUAAACACGCCCUGUUACCACGGCGAUAAAACUCGUUAAUCUUGAAUAUCUACUGUCCCCCAUUGCAUCACUUAAAAAGAAAACAGUGUUUGCAUUAUCCUGAGAGUACAGUUUGAAGUUGUUCAUUGAAAACCAGGCUGGGAUGAGCGGUGUCACGCUAUGCAGCGUUUCCCACACAGCGAUCAGACACAUUGGAAUAUUUAUUUAGGAAUUAAUCACUACCCAAAGUUUGCUCCAGCUGUGUUUUGGCUCCACCUUCGUUCUCAUGCUUUGCCUGAAGCCAAACUAAAACUGUGGAUGUAAAGGAAACGCUCAUGACCUUCCUCCGCCCCAUUGGAUACAUUUCAAUUAAAACGCUGAAAAACCACAUAAGGCAGGAGCAAACCCGUCACCAAACGAGAUGAUAAUCUACUUAAUGUUGCUUCCUGCAAAAGAUAAACUUCCAGUCAAGUCCAGAAUAAUAAUUCCUUAUAUAAAUGGCUUAAACAUAAUGAAAUGUUCAGUUUGAGCCCUUAAAACAUUUACAGUUGUUUUAGAUUUCCUUUUAUUUCAUCAUUUUCACUAGAUGUGUAAAUAUGUAUAAUGUGGAACAUAUUUGGAUGAGAGAAUUUGGGUUAGGAUUUAAUAAACUUUGUCCUUUUCAAACUGGAUAUGGAAGUUUUGUUUUUGUUUAGCUAUGAUGAAUAUUUUUUGUUAUUUUUUUCCCUGACAUUUGACCCGUUCAAAAUAAAUAAAGAACUAAUUUAAUGCAUUUUA